rnacentral:rRNA from 1 species
UACGUAGGGGGCAAGCGUUGUCCGGAUUUAUUGGGCGUAAAGAGCGUGUAGGCGGCCCGGUAGGUCUGGUGUGAAAACUCGAGGCUCAACCUCGAGAGGUCAUCGGAAACCAUCUGGCUAGAGUCCGGAAGAGGAGAGUGGAAUUCCCGGUGUAGCGGUGAAAUGCGCAGAUAUCGGGAAGAACACCAAUGGCGAAGGCAGCUCGCUGGGACGUUACUGACGCUGAGACGCGAAAGCGUGGGGAGCAAACAGG